UCACUUAAGCAGCAGAUACACUUGAAUUAAAAUAAUACAAAAAAGGUUAGCAUGGCCUCUACACAAGGAUGAAAUCCAAAUUUGAGAAGUAUUUCUAUUUUUA
rnacentral:snRNA from 1 species